rnacentral:rRNA from 1 species
AACGAACGCUGGCGGCAGGCCUAACACAUGCAAGUCGAGCGAAGCCUUCGGGCUUAGCGGCGGACGGGUGAGUAACGCGUGGGAACGUGCCCUUUGGUACGGAAUAGCCCCGGGAAACUGGAAGUAAUACCGUAUGUGGUCGAGAGACGAAAGAUUUAUCGCCAAAGGAGCGGCCCGCGUUGGAUUAGGUAGUUGGUGGGGUAAUGGCCUACCAAGCCGACGAUCCAUAGCUGGUUUGAGAGGAUGAUCAGCCACACUGGGACUGAGACACGGCCCAGACUCCUACGGGAGGCAGCAGUGGGGAAUCUUAGACAAUGGGGGAAACCCUGAUCUAGCCAUGCCGCGUGAUCGAUGAAGGCCUUAGGGUUGUAAAGAUCUUUCAGUGGGGAAGAUAAUGACUGUACCCACAGAAGAAGCCCCGGCUAACUCCGUGCCAGCAGCCGCCGUAAGAC